rnacentral:misc_RNA from 1 species
GAUGAAGAACGUAGCGAAAUGCGAUAAGUAAUGCGAAUUGCAGAAUUCAGUGAGUCAUCGAAUCUUUGAACGCACAUUGCGCCCUGUGGUAUUCCGCAGGGCAUGCCUGUUCGAGCGUCAUUUCAACCCUCAAGCUCUGCUUGGUGUUGGGCCCUGCCCGCUGCGGCCGGCCCUAAAGACAGUGGCGGUGCCGCCUGGCCCUGAGCGUAGUACAUCUCUCGCUCCAGUGCCCGGUGGUAGCCUGCCAGAACCCCAACUCUCGUGGUUGACCUCGGAUCAGGUAGGGAUACCCGCUGAACUUAAGCGUAUCAAUAAGCGGAGGA